rnacentral:rRNA from 1 species
UACGAAGGGGGCUAGCGUUGCUCGGAAUCACUGGGCGUAAAGCGCACGUAGGCGGAUUGCUAAGUCAGGGGUGAAUCCUGGAGCUCAACUCCAGAACUGCCUUUGAUACUGGCGACCUUGAGUCCGGGAGAGGUGAGUGGAACUGCGAGUGUAGAGGUGAAAUUCGUAGAUAUUCGGAAGAACACCAGUGGCGAAGGCGGCUCACUGGACUGGUAUUGACGCUGAGGUGCGAAAGCGUGGGGAGCAAACAGG